AUGAAACACGGCGGGUUCAGGAACUCCCUCCGAGCAGACAGAGCCGUGGGCUUGUCAGGCAGGGGUAGCCCUGGAUCUCAGCUUGCCAUCCCCCCACCCCACCCCCGUCUGGAGACAAACCCUUCACCGCCGAGCGGAGCACGGCAAGACUGCAUCUGUGCCACAGAGAAUGUGGGAGACCCGCGUUCCCUGGAAUGUGCUUCACUCAAGAGCAUUGUUCGGGGGGUGCUUUCUCUCCUAGGAAGCUCCUUGGGGACCCACUGCCAGUACAGUCAGUUCUGCCGUCACAUGACGUGUGCUCCUGAAAAUCCCGGUGCUAUAAAAGGCAGUGCAAGUGCAAACCCCAGGGCCAAUGGCGAAAAUGUGCUUAGGGCCCAACGCUCAAAAGCUUUUGCAGGGACACAUUAAUAAAAAGAAAGGAACCUGAUAGAAAUGAUGUCACAGUCUUGCAUAUAUUACGUUGUUAAGAAAUACAUGAAUGCCACACGACGCAUGGCCCCUUACCUUGAGGAAGACCUGAAGUUGGCUUAUACAAGUGAGGGAAAGCUUGCGAGUAAUGGUCAAGUGGUGGGAGGGGGUUAUCUGAAGCCAGAGGGGCAGCUGUAACCCUGAUCUGGGGGAGAGCUGAGGCAGCUGGCGAUGUUUGAAGCGUAAGCUUACGUGCAUUUUGUGUAAUCCUGCUGACAGUGUUGAAUUUAACUGGAGUCCUAUGAUCCUGGAAAACAGGGAUGACGAGAGAACCCCCUUCUCCUUUCGGUGUUCCAGAAACAGCUCACUGCAAAGAACCACCCUCCUCAUGUGACUUAGAGAAGACUCCCGGAUGACCCUUUGUUAACCUGCGGCAAGGCCAGACACAGACCCUCCAAAUUCCCUUUUUUUUUUUUGCUUUAGAAAUGAUUAGCUGAGUUGUUUUGUCCCACUGAUCCAUUGGAACAAAAUGCUUGUUACCCAAACUUGGGUUGAGCUUUCUCUCCUUCCCCUAGGUCCCUGAGCUUUGUUGGUCCACCCUCAAAAAGUGGAAUCUUCUGAGCUACUCUGUCUGAUCAUGCCCUUUUCUCUCUCCAUGCUUGGUUCUUUCAGGCCUUGAUUAAUUCUCUCCAUAAAAGAAAAAUCCUUUUGCUUAAUCUUUUUUUUUAAUUUUUAAAAAAUAUUUAUUUAUUUUUGAAGAGAGAGAGAGGGACAGAGUGUGAUCAGGGGAGGGGCAGACAGAGAGGGAGACACAGAAUCGGAAGCAGGCUUUAGGCUCUGAGCUAUUAGCAGAGAGCCCGACUUGGGACUCGAACUCACGAACCGUGAUCAUAACCUGAGCCAGAGUCAGAUGCCUAACCAGCUGAGCCACCCAGGUGCCCCUCACUUAAUUUUUGAAAGCAUCACAGAUCUCCCAGUGGGAGAGUUUUUCCUAGUGUAGUUGUCCGUCUGCCACCGUUGCAAAAACCUAUCAAAUAAAGAGUCUCCUUGUCUCGGUCCA
rnacentral:lncRNA from 1 species